UGGUGAUGGAAAGAAGAGGCAGGAAUGAAAAUCUGGCUUGCUGAUAGAGCCUACAACAUGCAUUUUAUUAAGUUGCUGCUUUCAGAAAGGAAGUUUCUCCUUGAGCCCUAGGAUUCACAGGCCAUCUGGAUUCUGAAACAUCUGGACACUGAAUUUCUGCAGAGGAGAAUCAGAGGAAAGAGACGAUCAGUGGUACUGGGUGUCUCCGGAGAGAUUUAAAUCAACGAUGAUAUUUUGGUUGUCUCCCUCUUGGAACAUUAACACAAAAUGUGAAAGGAAAAAACAACACAUCACAGGAACCCAGUGUUCCAAGAAUACCAAGACUAUAUAAGAAGUGAACGGUGCUAUCACAAACAUCAACUUCUAACCAGAAAAAGGCAUCAUGAGGAAGCCUCUCCUUGGUCAUUUUAGGAACCCGAAAAACAAGUUGUAAGCAGAGAGAAAUAUUCCUUUUUCCACUGGAACUUAUUGAAGCAGGUCCCAGACCUGACCAGAAAGAUGCCUGAAUUGCCUUUUGAUUUUUGCACUUACAGCCUUCAAUCAUGGGCAACUCUGGUGCCGACAACUAGGACUAAUAGCUCAGAAGUAAAGAAGUAAACAACGCUGAGUUUUUCUCACUUCACAGAAAUUCUGAAAUGACUCCAGAUUACCAUGAGCUCCUUGCUUCCCCUCUGCUUUUUUCACUCUGAGGAUUUGAAGUCAAGAGGCAACCAGCCCCUGAGGUAUAAACAACAGGAGAUUACUCAUUGAUGGUAUAAACAGAAGAGGAGUACAGAAGUUCAGGCCAGUACCCAAUUGUCAUCUAAAGAGAUACAUCAGCUACAAAGCCUGUCCAAACGGUCAUCACAAAUAGGUUUCAGAAUGUUUUAUAUGGACCUGAGCCAUGUUUUUACCUUGUCCGUAUACCGAAAAGAUGAUCUAUCACAGUGAAAUGAACUUUCAAAUAACAAUAAAAAUUAUUUGUUUAGGAGGAAAGAACAGGGGUGGGGUGGGGAGGGAAUGAUUAACCUCCCCAUGACUCACAUAGAGCCUGAGCCACUGGGGAUGAGUUGGCCACGAUAGAAUUUAUACCACACUACAGGCUGAAUUUCAACAAGUUAUUUAGGAUGAUUUUGUGACUAAGCAUGAAAUUGGAAUUAUAUUGUCUCCUGUGUCCAAGUAUUAUAAACAUUUUUUCCUUCAUUAUUUCAGAUUUUUUAAAUUCUUGUGCUUCUUUAGAAUGAGCUCACAAAAUAAAUGUACUUUGUAAACUACAAAAGGAAACGUAUGUCCUUUUAUUUCCAUUGUGUUGGAAGGAUUUGGUAAGGAAGGUUAAUGUGAACUAUUACUUAUUAUGUGGCUAUUAUAUUAUUAUGACUAAUUAUUAUUACUAACUCUAAGCUAGUCCUCCACAUCCAAACACUUUGCACCUGCAAAACAAGACAUUCAUUCAAAUUUAAUUUGUAUUUCUUCCUUUGUUCUCAAUCCAGUCUGAGUUCAACUAGUUUUCACUCGCCUGCUAACCCAUAGCCCAAACUUUCAUUUGCUGCCGGUUCCUAGAAUUUGGGACUUGAUAUUGAAGGGAGAAAAACACCAUAAUUGUUUUAAGAAAUGCAUUUUAAAAGUAUUUAAUACUCAUUCAAAAUUUAUUUUUGAAACCCUUUAGGGGCUCCUGUGUUGCACAGUUGGUUAAGCCUCUGACUUCAGCUCAGGUCAUGAUCUCAGUGUC